GCGCGUGCGAGAUCCAGUCCGGGUUUGCCGGCUGCCCGGCCACGGGGCUCAGCCGCUGUCCCGCUGCUGCCGGUGCGAUGAGCUCCCCGGGGGAGAGCUGCGCUCCUCGCGCGCGCCCAGUCGCCUCUGCCCCGUGCCGCCCGCCAGGGACAACUGAACUGCACUUGAGAUGACUUCUAUACUGAGGAGGACACAUGCCAGAAGUUCUGGUGAUUGAUGUCUAAUGUCUGAGUCGGUCCUUCAUCCCUUCUGAGGCAGCUAAAGCCAGUGGGAAGCUCUCUUCUCUAUAUUUGGAUAUUUGAUUGACUGUGUUUGAGGCAAAGGAAGGAACAUAACUGUGGAGAGAGGUUUUGGGGUUUUUUUUUCCCCCUUGGUACAAGCAGGCAUUCUGUAUAGAAAACCAUGCGAGAGAACUGCUUAGUGUCUUGAAGUACGAGUCAAAAUCUUAAUGCAACUUGCCUCCAAGCCAUGCUGUUGUGAAGCAUUUCUUUCAUGCUGUAAUACUGUUUGGCACACUGAGCCCCCUGCUCAGGGAGCUGCUGAUGGCACUCUCACAAUCGGCUCUCAAAUAGUUUCUGGUCUGUCGGUGCUCCAGCUGGCUGGAGAUCAUUACAGAGAAGAUGCUGGACCUAAGCUUUCUGACAGAAGAGGAGUAUGAGAAGCUUAUGAAGGUUCUGCAGAGAGAUGCAGAGCUGAAGAAAAAAGACAGUGAUCGUAUCAGACGAUUACAAGGCUCUCUCAAGGAUGAAAAGAAGAAAAAGUUUGUGACUGGUGAAUGGUUUAAUGAAGUGAAGGCAAAACGUUUUCAAGAGGAAUUAGAGGGGCCAGACCUGCUUCGAGCAUCCAUUAGCAAGAAAAAGGAGAAACAGGAAAAUGAACCUAAUGAACACAUCCGGCAGAGCCUGGAAGGCAGAGCAGCUUCACUGCCAUCAGACGCAACCAGUCCUCUCUUCCCUGAACUCACUCCUGACUUUGGAGCCGAGAGAUCCAGUACAACUGCUUUGGAUUCUUCAGAGGAACAUAAAACCUUGCCAAAGCCAAAACCAAGACACAUCAUGCUGCCACCCUCAUCAAAUGAGAGAUCGAGUGUAAAUGAUAUCUUGCCAGGAGAGAGCAAUGCUGGAAUAAGUACAACAAACUACUGGCAGAUGUCUGAAAAAGGUCAUGAAGUACCUCCAUCGCCUGCCAAGCUCUCAGAAGAGGAUAUGGUUCAGUCCAGUUAUUCUUCUGGGGUGGAGGUUCCUGAUGUGCUCAGUGGCACCCCAGAAAUGCAGAAAGCUCCCUCCAUAGACACUAAUAUUGCCAGCAAGAUACCAGUCAAGAGGAAAGCAAGCAAAGGCCUGUUCAGGUCAGAGACUCCUGUGAAUCCCACAGAGCAGACUGAGGGCAGUCAUGCAAAGAGAGAGUCACUUAAAAGCUCAAAAUCUCUGUCUGGAGAGGAAGACAACAAUCUGGUUCUGAAGCAAGGAGCCAACUAUACCAUCUUUUCCAUGAGCCAUAAAGAUGAGGAAAUCGGCCUAGAUCAUGAACAGUUCAAGAACCUGAGGAACUUUUGGGAGAAAGGUGCUGAUACUGUAGUAGCAGUUAAUGUUUCAGAGGAGUCCUUUGAAAAGCCCAGCGUGGUAGAGUCAAAUGGGAGACCGUUCAUAUUGAGUCGCUCUCUCUCUGUACAGUCUAAUCAAAGCCAAAAUGGUGAAGAAAAGUCCAAUGUCUCCAUGAAAACCAGAAUUCCCUACAAAAGAACAGUAACUUUCUCUUCUAGUGAAGAUGAACCGUGCUACAUAGCCCAUUCAAGGAAGGUCUCUGCCUCCUCUAUGGCCAGGUCUACAUAUGGCAAGAGCAAAGGGGCUGUGGUUGCUAGAAAUAAUUCAUUGACUGAAAGUAAUGGGAGGCAGGAGGAGGAGAGAAAGGCACAACGCUGCUUGAGGAGAUCCAAACUGCCUGUGCGAGUGCCUUCAAUCAAAAUAGAAUCGCCCACGAAAGAGGGGCCAAGCAGCACAUUUGAACCAGAAACGCCUGCCGAUGAGUAUGUCAUGCCUGAAGAAAGCAGGCGCAAAGUGAACUCAUUGGCGAGUAGGAUUCAGAUAUUAAUAGAACCUGUACAUUCAGACAGUGAUAAUGAUAGAGAUAAAAGGUCUGAUUUGGGCAUUCAAGAAAACAUGGAAACUAAUGGAGAGCUGCCUGAGGCUAAGACACGUGAGCCUGCAGAAAACCUAAUGUCCAAGGAACCAACCACGGAGAGAGAAGCGAUUCAAGGAACUGACUCGGCUGUAUUCUCAGAAGAAGGCGGGGAUCAAUCCUCUGAUGCCAUGAGUCUGGCACGAGCGAAUAGCAUUAAUCUAGCCAAGAGCAUGGUGAACAUUUACGCAACCAGUGAGACGUACAAUAAGCCGCAAAUGAUAACUCAUCAACUUCUUGAGCCUGAACGAACCAAAGAGCUGAGCAGAUCCUCCCCUGUCCUUCUAUCUGAGACGGAAUCGGACACUGCUUCAGAAAUCAGCUUCCAGUUUAACAGACACAAAAAGACUCCUAGCAUUGGCAGCCACUCCUCUGACAUGGCAUCAGUCUCUUCGGUAAGUGGUAGCGUUCUCAGCGUCUACAGUGGUGAUUUUGGGAGUGUGGAUGCACAAGGGACUGUUCAGUUUGCUCUGGAUUAUGAUGAGAAAAACCGAGAAUUCCAGAUUUAUGUUUCCCAGUGCAAGGACCUGGCUGUGGUGGAUGAGAAGAAAGGCAGAUCUGACCCGUAUGUCAAAACUUACCUGCUCCCAGACAAAGCUAGAAUGGGCAAGAGAAAAACCUCGGUGAAGAAGAGAACAGUGAAUCCCAUUUACAACGAAGUGUUAAGAUAUAAAAUAGAGAAAAUGGUGUUGCUGAUCCAAAAAUUAAAUCUUUCCGUGUGGCACAAUGACCCACUAGGACGUAACAGCUUCUUGGGAGAGAUAGAAAUAGACCUAGCUAGCUGGGAUUGGAGCAACAAGAAACUCAACUGGUACAUGCUGAAGCCACGGAGCCUUUCUGCCAUUAAUGGUGUGGAUCAUCGAGGAGUGAUGAAUCUGUCUAUUAAAUAUGUCCCACCAGGAAGCUUAGGUCCAAAGAAUCCUUCAUCUGGGGAAGUUCAUAUCUGGGUCAAAGACAGCAAGGACCUCCCACAGUUGCGCCCUUCUGGAGUUGACUCCUUUGUGAAAUGCUAUGUGCUUCCAGACACCAGUAAGAAGAGUUACCAGAAGACCAGAGUUAUUAAAAGAGACCCAAACCCUGUUUUUAAUCACACUAUUGUGUAUGAUGGGUUCCACACAGAAGAUCUGAAAGAUGCCUGUGUUGAGCUGACUCUGUGGGAUCAUGAAAAACUAACCAAUCACUUCCUCGGAGGGAUCAGGCUGGGCCUUGGGACAGGCACUAGCUACGGUAUCUCCGUGGACUGGAUGGACUCCACGCAGGAAGAAGUGGCCUUUUGGCAGGAAAUGAUGUCAGCCUCCAAUGAAUGGAUUGAAGGAUCACUGCCGCUGCGCUCACUGGCAGGGAGGAGGAAACUGAAAUGAAACUUCUGUUGUACAAUUAAAAGUAUGAGCAUAUUCAUUAGAAUUUGGAAGCUCCCCAUGACCAGGGAAUGGAGCCUCUCCCCUAUCUGCACAGGUGUCUGGUUAAUUAGAUAAUGAUUGCAUUGUGCUUUAAAGAUGGCAGGUGCUAAGUGGUGUUAAUCUCCCAGUAGAGGCUUUAGAAGAUGCUAAAGUGAUGCUAUGCUUGAUUUUAGCAAAAAGCCAAGAAAACACAUUGGUUACUUUUGUUAAUCAUUUAUAUACUCUUAGAUUUCAUUAGUCCCAGUACAUUGGCAGGGAAGAAGUGUAAAUAUAUAUAUAUUUUUUAAUACAGGGUUUUUUUUGUUACUGGAUUUUGUGCUGUUUUUAUGUGCAGUGAGACAGUUGUAAUAAAGCUGCAGCUUGGCAUUAUCCAUAUUCCCUUUCAAGUGGUACGCUUCAUACUGGAUGCAGCAUUGCAAGCAUCAUCUCAGAAUGGGACCUUGCCAUCCAUCACUGAUUAUAAUGUGGCUAUGACUCAGGAAAAAAAAUCCACUUUAGAUUGCUUUGAGAUCCAAGGUGAACCUGCAGAAAGAGGACUGUUUGGAGCAGACAAUGUAGCAACAUGACUAAGAUAUCAGAGAAGAAUUCAACAAAUUUAAUUCCAUACUACUUUUAUUUGGAAGUGAGGAAUGAUGGUCUUGCAGCUAAUGUACCAGCCCAGGACUCAGUAGAUAUAGGUUCUGUUCCCAGCCUUGCCAAACUUCCUCUGUGACCUUGGGCAAGUCACUUACUUAAAGGAAAACUGCAGUGGAAUAUAAAUUAGGUUGCACUCAGCCAAAUAUAAAAUAUGAUUAAAUCACUGCUGGGCCAAAUCAGUUCUUUCAAAUGCCUUGUGUAUAUAAAAUAUUAAGGGUGAAAUUAUGAUAUGUAGCAAGCAGCUUUUGUGUCAGCCUGAUGAGGUGUAUAGAGAGGUCAAAACUGCAGCCACAAAACAAGGAAAGGAGAGAGAUUUUUGGAACUGAUGGGAAAGAUAAUGAUUUACAGUGUCUAAAUUUAUGAUGAAUGUGCCAAAACUGCUGUUUACACACACAAAAAGUAAUUUGAAAAGUUCAUGCAAGUAUUUAUUUCAUAUCAGCAUUAGUGCCACAUCUAAGAAUCAGUUAUUUCCUAAUAUGGUGCCAACAAAGUUAAAUAAUCAUUGUUACAGGGCCAAGUUCAUCCCUGGUGUCAAAGUUUGGAUGAGUUUAGCCCAAGAUAUUGUGAUCUGGAUAUUUUUGUUUUAAGGUGCAUUGUUUUUUUUGUGGGUUUUUUUGGUAAAUUAAGCCCUGAUUUAUUUCAGAAGCUUUUAGUAUUUAUUAGCGCAUCAGAGUAAAAGAUUACACCGCCAAGCAUAAUACAGUGGUACCAUAGUCAUGUAUUAUGUAUGAGGUCAUAUCUGCUUCACUUAUGAGAAAAAGCACUUUAUCUGCAAAAAUGCAAGGCACUUUGUCACAUGUCAGUGUCAUACAUAGGAGUGGAGGAACCUGUAGCAAAUAAAAGUUUAAUGGCCUUUGGUAUGGGUCUUACAUUGACAUUUGUAAUCUGUAAAUGCUGCCUGCAAGAGGUAAAGUAUCUAAAUGUUAUAGGCUGCUAUAGCACAGGUCCAUGUUAACAUGUGCUGCAGAUUAAUUUGGAAACGUACCAAAAGGAUGCUAUUGUAUUUAUUUUUUGUAUGAUGGACUAAAAGUCCCUUCACGAGAUAGGGCAUUUACUAUGUAUAGUAAAUAUAUUUAGGUCCAUAAUGCCUCUGGAUAUAAACAUGCAACUUUGUUGAAGUCAGGUGUGUCUUUGCAUGCAGCUGAAACCAAAAUUAUUGUCCUUAGGGCUUGAUCCUGCAACCGCCAAUUACUGGUGGGACACAAGUAAUCCUAUUGUCCGGAGUAGGCCUACCUGUGUGAGUUACAGGAUCUGGCCCUUUUUUAAAUGGAAAAAGUUAAUAGCAUGACUAGAGCUGGGCAAAUUCUGCAGGGAAAAGCUUCCCAUGACCAUUCUUCUGCAUUCAUGAGUGCAUGUGCUUUCCUGGUGCUCAUACCCCUUUCAUAUCUGCUUUUUGCAGAUAUCUUGCAAGUGAAUUUACAAGCAGGAGUGUUUUGCUCAAAUAGCAAAUUUCUAAUUCACCAGUAGCAGGACGUGUAUAAGAAGCCAGCUUAUAAGAAGCUUUGCUCCUCCAGUCAGAAAACAGAAGCAUAUCAUGUGACCUGUGUCUAAUCAGACCUGCUCAGAUUAUUAACCAGCUACUUGGAACAAACAGCUCAUGAACAAUCUUUGGACAAAUUAUUCACCAAAUUAAUGUUGGUAAUCUGGAAGAGUAUCUAGGGAUUCACGGUCUGUACUUGGAAAAGUCAACAUUGGUUAAGUAAAGUAUCUAUUACGAAGUGUUUGUCCAGCUCUACUCUUGACCAAGACAGAGAGAAAAGCAAAACUGAUCUUAUUGUGAAACUUAUAAGCUGCAGAGAGAAAUAUUAGUAGA